ACGAACGCUGGCGGCAGGCCUAACACAUGCAAGUCGAACGCCGUAGCAAUACGGAGUGGCAGACGGGUGAGUAACACGUGGGAACGUACCCUUUGGUUCGGAACAACUCCGGGAAACUGGAGUUAAUACCGGAUAAGCCCUAUGGGGGAAAGAUUUAUCGCCGAAGGAUCGGCCCGCGUCUGAUUAGCUUGUUGGUAGGGUAACGGCCUACCAAGGCGACGAUCAGUAGCUGGUCUGAGAGGAUGAUCAGCCACACUGGGACUGAGACACGGCCCAGACUCCUACGGGAGGCAGCAGUGGGGAAUAUUGGACAAUGGGCGCAAGCCUGAUCCAGCCAUGCCGCGUGAGUGAUGAAGGCCUUAGGGUUGUAAAGCUCUUUCGCGCGCGACGAUAAUGACGGUAGCGCGAGAAGAAGCCCCGGCUAACUUCGU
rnacentral:rRNA from 1 species